UUGCUUGGUAGAGGUCGCGUGCUUUAUGAGUCGCUUUUUGGAUGUAUCAGGAACAGUUGAUAAGAAGCAAAAGGAAAGUACGCCGAAAGGGUAUGCAGCCUGAAGGCAUAUUACUUGGGCAUAAAGUGAAGAACUUUAUGACUGUCAUCUGAAUGGAGAUCAUUUGAGAUGGGGAGCUAUCAGAUUC
rfam:Roseburia inulinivorans CAG:15 genomic scaffold, scf287